rnacentral:rRNA from 1 species
AGUUGAGAGAAUUAGAUUCUCGGCAUCAGGCUGAGUAACACGUGGGUAAUCUGACCUAAGGCGGGGCAUAACCUCGGGAAACUGAGGGUAAUACCCCAUAGGCAAUGGAUACUGGAAUGUUCCUUUGCCCAAAGCUCCGGCGCCUUAGGAUGAGCCCGCGACGGAUUAGGCUGUUGGUAAGGUAAUGGCUUACCAAACCAUUGAUCCGUAGGGGCCGUGAGAGCGGUAGCCCCCAGACGGGAACUGAGACAAGGUCCCGAGCCCUACGGGGUGCAGCAGGCGCGAAACCUCCGCAAUGCACGCAAGUGUGACGGGGGAACUCCAAGUGCACUAGAUUUUUUCUAGUGCUUUUCUGAAGUGUAAAAAGCUUCAGGAAUAAAGACUGGGUAAGACCGGUGCCAGCCGCCGCGGUAACACCGGCAGUCUGAGUGGUGACCACUUUUAUUGGGCCUAAAGCGUUCGUAGCCGGGCUUGUAGGUCCCCAGGUAAAUCUGGCAGCUUAACUGUCGGAAUUCUGGGGAUACCGCAGGUCUUGGAGCUGGGAGGGGGUGCGAGUACUCCAGGGGUAAGGGUGAAAUCUACUGAUCCUUGGGGAACUACCUGUG